ACCACAAAGUUUGGUAUGUUGUCCAGAGGUUACAGGCGGCUGAAGCUUGCCUCUCCUUGGCGGCGGUGGGGGAGUCUUGCUCUGGCGAGGCGUGCGAGGUGAACGAGUGACGGGCGUGCUGCCCCCUGAACUUUUCCGCUCCACUACAACUUCUCUCUGAAGAUAUGAACAGAUAAACCCGCCGUGAGUCUGGGUGGUGGGGGAGGAGCGCCAUCUCCGGCCGCCGAGAUGACGGCGCCGAUUCUGGGCAGACCAGCGCCGCCCUGAGCUGCCGAGUCCCACAAGCCACCCUGGCGUCGCUCGUUUUGUUCCUCUCGAGCUUUCCCCAUGAAAAUACAGGAAUUUUU